GAUGAACGCUGGCGGCGUGCUUAACACAUGCAAGUCGAACGGUGAAGGCGGAGCUUGCUCUGCUGGAUCAGUGGCGAACGGGUGAGUAACACGUGAGCAAUCUGCCCCUGACUCUGGGAUAAGCCCUGGAAACGGCGUCUAAUACUGGAUACGAGCUGCGAAGGAAUCUUCAGCAGCUGGAAAGAAUUUCGGUCAGAGAUGAUCUCGCGGCCUAGCAGCUUGUUGGUGGGGUAAUGUCUAACCAAGGAGUCGACGGGUAGCCGGCCUGAGAGGGUGACCGGCCACACUGGGACUGAGAGACGGACCAGACUCCUACGGGAGGCAGCAGUGGGGAAUAUUGCACAAUGGGCGAAAGACGGAUGCAGCAACGCAGCGUGAGGGAGGAAGGCAUUCGGGUUGGAAACCUAUUUUAGCAGGGAAGAAGCGAAAGUGACGGUACAUGCAGAAAAAGCGCCGGCUAACUACGU
rnacentral:rRNA from 1 species